rnacentral:rRNA from 1 species
GUAAAUAAUUAAGGGCGUAUGGUGGAUGCCUAGGCUCUCAGAGGCGAAGAAGGACGUGAUAAGCUGCGAAAAGCUCCGUUUAGGUGCAAAUAACCUUUGAUGCGGAGAUCUCCGAAUGGGAUAACCCAAUAUGUUGAAGACAUAUUAUACCGUAAGGUAGGCAAACGCAGGGAACUGAAACAUCUAAGUACCUGCAGGAGAAGAAAACAAACGUGAUUCCCCCAGUAGCGGCGAGCGACCGGGGAAAAGCCCAAACCGUUAUUGUUUCGGCAUUAACGGGGUAGUAGGACUGCAAGCUUGAUGAAAUAAAUGAAAUGGAACACCUUGGAAAAUGUGAUCACAGAGGGUGAUAAUCCCGUACAUGCAAGUUUAUGAAUCAUAGCAGACUCCUGAGUAAGUCGGGACACGUGUAAUCCUGACCGAAUCCGCCGGGACCAUCCGGCAAGGCUAAAUACUCCUGAGAGACCGAUAGUGAACCAGUACCGUGAGGGAAAGGUGAAAAGCACUUCGAACAGAAGAGUGAAAUAGUCCCUGAACCCAUACGCCUACAAGCAGUCGGAGCCGCUUCGUGCGGUGACGGCGUGCCUUUUGCAUAAUGAGCCUACGAGUUACUCAUCACCAGCGAGGUUAAGUACUUCAGGUACGUAAGCCGAAGCGAAAGCGAGUCUGAAUAGGGCGUCAAGUUGGUGGUGGUAGACGCGAAACCUUAGUGAUCUACCCAUGGGCAGGGUGAAGGUUUGGUAACACAAACUGGAGGCCCGAACCGGUAAACGUUGAAAAGUUUUCGGAUGACCUGUGGGUAGGGGUGAAAGGCCAAUCAAACUGGGAAAUAGCUCGUACUCUCCGAAAUGCAUUUAGGUGCAGCCUCUGUUGUUUUGUUCUAGAGGUAGAGCUACUGAUUGGAUGCGAGGGCUUCACCGCCUAUCAAAUCCGGCCAAACUCCGAAUGCUAGAACAUGAAGACAGGGAGUGAGCCAGCGGGUGCUAAGGUCCGUUGACGAAAGAGGGAGAACUCAGACCAUCAGCUAAGGUCCCCAAUUGUAUGCUAAGUUGGAAUUAAAACGGGGUGGGACUGCUUAGACAGCUAGGAUGUUGGCUUGGAAGCAGCCAUUCAUUUAAAGAGUGCGUAACAGCUCACUAGUCGAGCGGUCCUGCAUGGAUAAUACGCGGGCAUAAGCAUAUAACCGAAGCUAUGGGAUUGUAGAUGAUACAAUCGGUAGGAGAGCAUUCCAUUCAGCGUAGAAGCAGUAUCGUGAGGUAUUGUGGAGCGGAUGGAAAAGCAAAUGUAGGCAUAAGUAACGAUAAUGCGGGUGAGAACCCCGCACGCCGAAAGAUCAAGGAUUCCCCGGCAAUGUCAAUCAUCCGGGGGUAAGUCGGAUCCUAAGGGUAAGCCGAGUGGCGAUCCCGAUGGCAAACAGGUUAAUAUUCCUGUACUGAUCAUAACUGCGAUGCAGCGACGCAGAGGUGACACUGCUGCGUACUGACGGAAUAGUACGUUGAAACCCGUAUUCUUUGAUACCGGUAGUGAAGCACGCCGGUAGAGAUGAAAGGUGAUAGUACCGCAAUGCUUCGGUUGCGCGGAUAAUGCAGGUAAGCUGACUGCCAAGAAAACCUGCUAAGCUUCAGGUAAUGAUCAUCCGUACUGUAAACGGACACACGUGAUCAGGUAGAAAAUACUAAGGCGCUCGAGAGAUUCAUGGUUAAGGAACUAGGCAAAAUGGUCCUGUAACUUCGGGAUAAAGGACGCUCUUGUGAAAGAGCCGCAGAUAAUAGGCCCAGGCGACUGUUUACCAAAAACACAUGGCUAUGCUAAUUCGCAAGAAGAUGUAUAUGGCCUGACACCUGCCCGGUGCCGGAAGGUUAAGAGGAGAGCUCAGAGGUAACUCGAAGGUUUGAAUUGAAGCCCCGGUAAACGGCGGCCGUAACUAUAACGGUCCUAAGGUAGCGAAAUUCCUUGUCGGGU